AGCCGGGCUUGGGGCUCCCGGCGCUGCGGCGGCGGGCGGGGGCGGCUCAGUGGUGGGCGCCUAUGAUAGCCUUCCGAAAUGAGGGGUGCUCAGAGAGAAAACAAUACCAAACAAUCUCGAAAUAAACCAGAUGCGUAGGGAGUCCCUGACCCUGAGACGUUUGGGAACAAGUGGAGCUCAUGCAGAGGCAUCCAGGUAUUUCCAGAGACUGACGAGUGAGGUCUGCAAUCCCUUCCUAACAGCAGUCCUUUGUCUAUGGAUGAGGAAACUGAGGCACAGACAUUAAGGAAUUUGCCCUAUGUUUCCUGGUCACAGAACAUUGAUCAACCCAGCAUCAGCUCAGUUGGCUGAUUUGUGCCUUCGGUACAAACUUCUUAGAUGGACCACACAGCCGUUCCUCUCUUGGGUCUCAUAGUCUUCCCCUGAAGAAUUUUUCCAGGGUAAUGGGUGAGGAAAUUGAGGACCAGAGAUGUUCAUUAGUUUGCUUAAAGGCGCACAAUCAGUAAGUGGUAGGCCC